GGUCCGUUCGUCUAGAGGCUAGGACGCCGGGUUUUCAUCCCGGUAACAGGGGUUCAAUUCCCCUACGGACUGCAA
rnacentral:tRNA from 1 species